UACGGAGGGUGCAAGCGUUAUCCGGAUUCACUGGGUUUAAAGGGAGCGUAGGAGGGCAGGUAAGUCAGUGGUGAAAUCUUCGAGCUUAACUCGGAAACUGCCGUUGAUACUAUCUGUCUUGAAUACCGUGGAGAUGAGCGGAAUAUGUCAUGUAGCGGUGAAAUGCUUAGAUAUGACAUAGAACACCGAUAGCGAAGGCAGCUUGCUACACAGUUAUUGACACUGAGGCACGAAAGCGUGGGGAGCAAACAGG
rnacentral:rRNA from 1 species